GUGGUAACCAGAGAGAAAAGGAUCGUGAAAGAGCUCAGAUUCGCGGCAAGAAGGGUGCCAAGAAAGAUGAUGGCUUGACCCCUGAGCAGCGCCGUGAAAGGUUAAAGGACGCCAAGGCACUGCAAGAGAAGAUGGCUAAGAAGAACUCUGACGCCCAAACCAGUUCUGCUACUGGUACCAGCAAUAAGAAAUGAUUUCAAUUUUCACUGCUAAUGUCCUUUAUCUAAUCACUUUAUGGAUAACUUCCAACAUCCCAUCUCUAUUCUUCAACUUUAUGCGUUAUAUGCCAUUGGUGGUGAUUGGGAUUCUUCGUCUUUA